GAUGAACGCUGGCGGCGUGCCUAAUACAUGCAAGUCGAGCGAACGGACGAGAAGCUUGCUUCUCUGAUGUUAGCGGCGGACGGGUGAGUAACACGUGGAUAACCUACCUAUAAGACUGGGAUAACUUCGGGAAACCGGAGCUAAUACCGGAUAAUAUUUUGAACCGCAUGAUUCAAAAGUGAAAGACGGUCUUGCUGUCACUUAUAGAUGGAUCAGCGCUGCAUUAGCUAGUUGGUAAGGUAACGGCUUACCAAGGCAACGAUGCAUAGCCGACCUGAGAGGGUGAUCGGCCACACUGGAACUGAGACACGGUCCAGACUCCUACGGGAGGCAGCAGUAGGGAAUCUUCCGCAAUGGGCGAAAGCCUGACGGAGCAACGCCGCGUGAGUGAUGAAGGUCUUCGGAUCGUAAAACUCUGUUAUUAGGGAAGAACAUAUGUGUAAGUAACUGUGCACAUCUUGACGGUACCUAAUCAGAAAGCCACGGCUAACUACGUG
rnacentral:rRNA from 1 species